rnacentral:rRNA from 1 species
UGCAAGUCGAACGAUGAUGCCCAGCUUGCUGGGYGGAUUAGUGGCGAACGGGUGAGUAACACGUGAGUAACCUGCCCUUGACUUCGGGAUAACUCCGGGAAACCGGGGCUAAUACCGGAUAUGAGCCGCCYUCGCAUGGGGGUGGUUGGAAAGUUUUUCGGUCAGGGAUGGGCUCGCGGCCUAUCAGCUUGUUGGUGGGGUGAUGGCCUACCAAGGCGACGACGGGUAGCCGGCCUGAGAGGGCGACCGGCCACACUGGGACUGAGACACGGCCCAGACUCCUACGGGAGGCAGCAGUGGGGAAUAUUGCACAAUGGGCGAAAGCCUGAUGCAGCGACGCCGCGUGAGGGAUGAAGGCCUUCGGGUUGUAAACCUCUUUCAGCAGGGAAGAAGCGCAAGUGACGGUACCUGCAGAAGAAGCGCCGGCUAACUACGUGCCAGCAGCCGCGGUAAUACGUAGGGCGCAAGCGUUGUCCGGAAUUAUUGGGCGUAAAGAGCUCGUAGGCGGUUUGUCGCGUCUGGUGUGAAAACUCGAGGCUCAACCUCGAGCUUGCAUCGGGUACGGGCAGACUAGAGUGCGGUAGGGGAGACUGGAAUUCCUGGUGUAGCGGUGGAAUGCGCAGAUAUCAGGAGGAACACCGAUGGCGAAGGCAGGUCUCUGGGCCGCAACUGACGCUGAGGAGCGAAAGCAUGGGGAGCGAACAGGAUUAGAUACCCUGGUAGUCCAUGCCGUAAACGUUGGGCACUAGGUGUGGGGCUCAUUCCACGAGUUCCGUGCCGCAGCAAACGCAUUAAGUGCCCCGCCUGGGGAGUACGGCCGCAAGGCUAAAACUCAAAGGAAUUGACGGGGGCCCGCACAAGCGGCGGAGCAUGCGGAUUAAUUCGAUGCAACGCGAAGAACCUUACCAAGGCUUGACAUGCACGAGAAGCCACCAGAAGAUGGUGGUCUCUUUGGACACUCGUGCACAGGUGGUGCAUGGUUGUCGUCAGCUCGUGUCGUGGAGAUGUUUGGGUUAAGUCCCGCAACGAGCGCAACCCUCGUCCCAUGUUGCCAGCGGGUUAUGCCGGGGACUCAUGGGAAACUGCCGGGGUCAACUCGGAGGAAAGGUGGGGAUGACGUCAAAUCAUCAUGCCCCUUAUGUCUUGGGCUUCACGCAUGGCUACAAUGG